AUACGGAGGGGGCUAGCGUUGUUCGGAAUUACUGGGCGUAAAGCGCGCGUAGGCGAUUCGAUAAGUUGAGGGUGAAAGCCCGGGGCUCAACCCCGGAAUUGCCUCCAAAACUGUCGAGCUAGAGUCCGGAAGAGGUGAGCGGAAUUCCCAGUGUAGAGGUGAAAUUCGUAGAUAUUGGGAAGAACACCAGUGGCGAAGGCGGCUCACUGGCCCGGUACUGACGCUCAUGUGCGAAAGCGUGGGGAGCAAACAGGAUUAGAUACCCCUGUAGUCC
rnacentral:rRNA from 1 species